AUGCAUUCUUUCGCGCACAGGCUUGAUCGGCUGACAGAUGGUGAUUUCACCAAGGCAGAAGACUUCAUCAGGCUGAUGCGAGUUCUUUACACCUGCACACUCUGUGUUUCCACCGAAAAAAGCCCAACAGCCGGACAGAUCCUGCCAAUCAUCCAAAAGCUUGAGAAACACUUCGCUGCUGAAAAUGGAGACACAGUAUUUGUAGCUGACUUGAAGAAGAGGGUCUGGGGAAACCUGUCUACCCGAUACAAGAAUGAGGACAACAGGUUCUUCUUGGAAGAAGCCACUGCCUUAGAUCCCCGCUUCAAGAAUAAGAUGGACAACACUGCAGUCUGGGAACGGAUCAAGGGGAAGUUACUGGCAAACUCUGAGCAGUCAGUGGCAGUCCAUGACCAUGCAGAAGGGGCUGGUAUGACACAGGGUGAGGGAAAGCAGGAAGGUGUGGAGACUGAAAGCGAGGAGGAAGAGGAGAAUCAGCCUCUUCCUUCCAAACAAUCAAAGAAGUCUCUACUGGAGGAGCUUUUUGCUGAGGAGGAUGCCGUGAAGAGGACCUCACAGGAGAGGUUGAUGAUGUCCAUGGAAGAGCGUGCUGAAAAGGAGAUCCAGACGUACCGGGCAAUGCCACCAACCAUCACAUCGUCUGACCCUGCUGCCUGGUUCUGGGCCCAGAGACAAACUUAUCCUUUACUGUCAUGUCUGGCCUUCUCAUAUUUAUGUGUCCAGGCCUCCUCAACGCCUAGUGAACGUGUGUUCUCUACUGCAGGAAACACAAUCUGUGCAGAACGGGCACGCUUACUGCCUGAAAAGGCAGACAUGAUAAUCUUCCUCAACAACAACUGUUGAUUGAUUUGUCAUAUGAUUGUGUUUGUAUAAUUGUGUUUCAUAUGCAUCUUCCUGGUUUGCAGCUCUUUGUUUUUUAGACUGCUUCUACUUGUAGUGUGAUUUCAGCAAGUGUCAGUUUUACCGUUACAUUUGGAAACCCUUGUUGAAUACCCGAGUUACAGUACAGCAACUACAUUAAACUGUAUCAACUAAAUCAACUAAGUGAUAAAAAUGGCCUGUGUAGGCUUUUUCAAAUGAAAAGAUUCUCCUGUGAAAUCUCUGACCUGUUGACCUGCACAGCUCAAAGAAUCGGAAUCAAGAAUCGUUUAGAACAGGAAUCUAAAUUGAGAAUCGGAAUCGGAAUCGUUAAAUUCCAACGAUGCCCAACCCUAUGCAGGACGUCCUCUGCUGACGACCGUCAGGAUCAAUGUGAUGAUUAAAAGUGUUUGACGUCGUCUUCAUUUAAACAUUUUGUCUCUCAGUGUUUAAUGCUUCACUUUUCAUUCUGUCCUUCAUGACGUCUCUGCUGAGGACAUUUAAUCUACUGGCUCCUCCACACAUACAGCUGCUGCUGCAUCGCUCUCUACACACCCACCAGACUCCAUUCACAAAAACACUGAUUUAACACUGUUCACUGAAACUGCACAGAACCAGAGUGCAACACGUUGUGUCUCUGACAGACUGUUGGACCGGACCGGACAUCAUCAUGUUGUGUCUCUGACAGACUGUUGGACCGGACCGGACAUCGUCAUGUUGUGUCUCUGACAGACUGGUGGACCGGACCGGACAUCGUCAUGUUGUGUCUCUGACAG
ensembl:lncRNA